rnacentral:piRNA from 1 species
AAGUGUGAUUAAGGAAUGUCAGAGU